CCCCCAGCAAAGCCCCAGGAGUUGAGUGCUCUUAAGAGAGACGCAGACUUAAAGCCAGAACCCUCACUAACCCUGGUGCUCACCAUCACAACCACAUGGCCUCUCCUUUAUCCCAUCUGAUCUCCAGGUAAGGAAGAGAUAACAUGAUGCUCCCUGAUGCUGGCAAUGAAGGAGUCUUGGCUUGUCAUGUGGGCUUGAAGGCAGGGCCUCGGGAUCAUGUGGCCAUCAUCUCAAAGACACUGGGGGAUAAGGUGGCAAGUACUGAACAGAAACACUAAGAAUUGAAGAGAAGCACUGGAUAGGACGGUUCCUGAAAGCCCCCUCAAGCCUCGGCUUCCCUAAUUGAUAAGCUGUUCUGGAACAAUUCUGCUUGACAUGGUGCCCCGGCAGGAUGCUCUCCAGGAAGAUUCCUGUGAGCCUGACUCAGAAGAGCAGCAGUCUGUCCGUGAACCUGGCGAAGAAUUUGAUCUCGAGAAUCAAUACCCUCGAGAAUUUGAUCUUCCUUCCGCAAGAGCUUGUGAUGGCCACGUUUUCCUCUUCUCUGACUUCUUAUCAGCUUUUCAAAUGUUGGAUUUAGAAAAACUAGAGUUAUUCUAGCAUUGAUUAUGUGAUCUCAGAUUCUUACAAGUAGUUUUCCUCCAGAUGAAUAUUGGGAAGAGUUUGGUAGCAAGCUAUAUGGUGAGGCAGGAGACUGGAAUGAAAGUCCAAAGGUGUUGUAAACUGGGGCAGGUUGCUUCAUCUCUUUGACACUUUGUUUCAUCAGCUCUAGAUUAGAAUGUGGAUUAAAAUGUUUCUAACUACUAAAGUCUAUAAAUCCUGAAAGCUGUGCUCCAGAGGAGAAAACACACACGUAUAUGUAUAUUUAUUCACUCUUUUGCCAUGCUUUUGUAGACUGGUUCCAGAGAGUUCUGAAUUCACCUAGUAAUAACAUUAUCUUAAUUUGGUAUUGAAGACACAGUUCCAAUAACUUAACCCGUAAGACUUGUACACUGGCUGACUUCCAUCCUUUCCCUAAUAAAGUAGAUUAAUUAAUCCAGGCAAUUACUGUCAAGCAAAGGAGCAAGGUUGGACAUUCUCUGAGAAAUUUGGUGGUUGUACAUCUGAUAUGGUUAAUUUGCAAGACCUUGGAUGGAACAUUUUAAUUAAUUAUUUCAGUUAUUAUUAUAUUUAGAUAGUGCUGGAUGGGUAGAAAUCUAUUAAAAUGAUAAAGUUUGGCUCAAUUUACCAACGAAAAGGAUGAACAUCCUUCUGCCUUUUUUCUUUUCUCUCUAGAACCAUAGUGAUUAGAGAAAUUAUAUCACGAUAUUGGGCAAAUAAAUUAGUCAAUCCCAGCCCAAAAGUAGUUUAUGAGCAAACCAUUAGAACCCUUUCCCAGUCAAAUGGAGGCCUAUUGAGAAGCAGUAUGUAAAUAGAGCAAAGCUUAUGAAAUGAAAUUGACAGGAUAGAAAAUUUUCAUAGACACAACCCGCCAACAAGGACUUUUCUUACACAUGUCUCCAUUACCUUGAUAAGAUUGGGAGGUGGCCAGUGGCUCUAUAAAUUUAAAGCAAAAAGUGGCAAUUAGGUCCUCAGGGUACAUCCUUCUCCCUCCUUUAUUCACUUCAGGUUCAUUGUUUUGGAUUUUUCAAUUAUAUUUUUAUGUUUCUGGUCCUUGGAGGAGGCUGAAUAUGACAUUUUGACAGUGGAAUCUGAAAGAGCUACAAUUCUAGAUUCUGUAAAUACUUCUUGAUCAUUAAAAAAUGUCUUAGUUUUAACUUUGAUUACUGUCUCAUUGGUCAAGUCCUUUGGAUUACAUAUACAUUUUAUUGAAAUGUCAAUCCCCCAGAUUCCCGGUAUAGAAAUCUGCUUUUCAGAGGUUCAAACAGUAGGUGGUUUAGUUCAUAUCCUUUACCCCAAAAUGAAAAUUCUGGGAUUCUCAUCAGCCUUCUCCCAAAGCAGACCUUUAAAGCUUCCCCAACACAUGUAAAAACCAAACUUUAUGGGGAUCCAAGGCCAGCCAGGAAAUUUUAACAAAGACUAAAUUUUAGAACAGCGAAUCUUCAGUUGUGCAAAGGACAUUGCUAAACUUCUGGGUUGGAAGGUAUCCUGAUCUACCUAAUUCUAUUUAUGAAACUGCAUAUGUGCUUUGAAACUCCAUUUAGAUCCAACUCUUUCAGCUAGAGAUGGAAACCAUAUGUGUGUCUAAGGCCCAUAUGUUAGGGCUUGGAGAGUCUUAGAUUUUGUUUUGAUUUCCAACGCAGCAUCAUUUUCAGAUUUGGAGACAUCUGGGUAUGUCCUUGACCCUCUGUGUCAUGAGGCGAUAUUUUUGUUAUCCAUUCUUCUUCUUCUUAGAUGAUUCCCAUUUCCAUAUGCUUAGGAAGGUGUUGCGGCCUUUGGCUCUCAAAAGAUCGCUUUAAGGGAAACAGAGAAUCGAAGUAAGUAUGUGGAAAAUCAAGUUCACAGUCUUAUACCUGGGUGAAAUAGUAUUUUGUUUAUUGUUUACGUGAAUUCAUUAGGGCUUCUUUUCUCCUUCACACACUGUUUCUUUCCUCUACCGCGGACCUCUAGUUCUGCUGCACACAUGCCCAAGGAUUGUGGACACACGCCAGUGUGAGGAUGGCUGGCUGACCUCCAAAUCUAUUUCCCCAUUCUUUCGAGGUGAUAGUCUGGUUGUAGCCAGACAUGUAGCCUCUCAAGGACUAUCUUCCAAACCUUACUGACAGGUGUGUGUUGAAGAUCUUAUUGAUGAAAUGUGAGCAGUAGGGAUAGGAGACAUUUCAAGCCCUACGUCCUAACACACAGCCUUUCCCUUUGGUUGGUACUAAGACACAGAAGAGUCUAAAACCAGCUUCAAAUGCAGAUGAUGGCAGUAUCCUGGGGGAUGACGGACGAAAACAACGGGAAGAACUGAACUCUUCUAAUUUCCGCAAGGAGCAGAACCACCUGCUGACUGCUCCCCCUCCCCCCAACUACUGGACUGGCAGGAAAAAAGCUUCUUUGUCCUUAAAAUCAUGUGUAGAUCUUAGGGUUUAUGCAUC